rnacentral:rRNA from 1 species
GAUGAACGCUGGCGGCAUGCCUAAUACAUGCAAGUCGAACGAAACUUCUUUAUCACCGAGUGCUUGCACUCACCGAUAAAGAGUUGAGUGGCGAACGGGUGAGUAACACGUGGGCAACCUGCCCAAAAGAGGGGGAUAACACUUGGAAACAGGUGCUAAUACCGCAUAACCAUAGUUACCGCAUGGUAACUAUGUAAAAGGUGGCUAUACUACCGCUUUUGGAUGGGCCCGCGGCGCAUUAGCUAGUUGGUAGGGUAAAGGCUUACCAAGGCAAUGAUGCGUAGCCGAAUUGAGAGGUUGAUCGGCCACAUUGGGACUGAGACACGGCCCAAACUCCUACGGGAGGCAGCAGUAGGGAAUCUUCCACAAUGGGCGAAAGCCUGAUGGAGCAACGCCGCGUGGGUGAAGAAGGUCUUCGGAUCGUAAAACCCUGUUGUUAGAGAAGAAAGUGCGUGAGAGUAACUGUUCACGUUUCGACGGUAUCUAACCAGAAAGCCACUGCUAACUACGUG